rnacentral:rRNA from 1 species
AUUGAACGCUGGCGGCAUGCUUUACACAUGCAAGUCGAACGGUAACAGGCCGCAAGGUGCUGACGAGUGGCGAACGGGUGAGUAAUGCAUCGGAACGUGCCCAGUCGUGGGGGAUAACGCAGCGAAAGCUGCGCUAAUACCGCAUACGAUCUCUGGAUGAAAGCGGGGGACCGAAAGGCCUCGCGCGAUUGGAGCGGCCGAUGUCCGAUUAGGUAGUUGGUGGGGUAAAGGCCCACCAAGCCAACGAUCUGUAGCUGGUCUGAGAGGACGACCAGCCACACUGGGACUGAGACACGGCCCAGACUCCUACGGGAGGCAGCAGUGGGGAAUUUUGGACAAUGGGCGCAAGCCUGAUCCAGCAAUGCCGCGUGCAGGAAGAAGGCCUUCGGGUUGUAAACUGCUUUUGUACGGAACGAAACGGUCCGGGUUAAUACCCUGGGCUAAUGACGGUACCUGAAGAAUAAGCACCGGCUAACUACGUGCCAGCCGCCGCUGUAACAC